AUUGAACGCUGGCGGCAUGCUUUACACAUGCAAGUCGAACGGCAGCGCGGGCUUCGGCCUGGCGGCGAGUGGCGAACGGGUGAGUAAUGCAUCGGAACGUGCCCAGUAGUGGGGGAUAGCCCGGCGAAAGCCGGAUUAAUACCGCAUACGACCUGAGGGUGAAAGCGGGGGACCGAAAGGCCUCGCGCUAUUGGAGCGGCCGAUGUCGGAUUAGCUAGUUGGUGGGGGAAAGGCUUACCAAGGCGACGAUCCGUAGCUGGUCUGAGAGGACGACCAGCCACACUGGGACUGAGACACGGCCCAGACUCCGACGGGAGGCAGCAGUGGGGAAUUUUGGACAAUGGGGGCAACCCUGAUCCAGCCAUGCCGCGUGCGGGAAGAAGGCCUUCGGGUUGUAAACCGCUUUUGUUAGGGAAGAAAUCCUCUGGGCUAAUACCCCGGGGGGAUGACGGUACCGUAAGAAUAAGCACCGGCUAACUACGUG
rnacentral:rRNA from 1 species